CAGUCGCCGCGGUAAUACGUAGGGUGCAAGCGUUAAUCGGAAUUACUGGGCGUAAAACGUGCGCAGGCGGUUAUAUAAGUCAGAUGUGAAAUCCCCGGGCUCAACCUGGGAACUGCAUUUGAGACUGUAUGGCUAGAGUGUGUCAGAGGGGGGUAGAACUCCACGUGUAGCAGUGAAAUGCGUAGAUAUGUGGAGGAAUACCGAUGGCGAAGGCAGCCCCCUGGGAUAACACUGACGCUCAUGCACGAAAGCGUGGGGAGCAAACAGGAUUAGAUACCCGCGUAGUCCCUGUCUCUUAUAC
rnacentral:rRNA from 1 species